rnacentral:lncRNA from 12 species
CUUCCUGCACACUGACCUGACCUAUAAACUAUCCCCACCAUAAUUUUUUAAAAUUAGUUAAGAAAAGUAGGGAGAUACCUUCAGCAGCUGUAAAAAUAGAUGUCUAGCUCCUGGAGCCUGGAGGAAGAAGCCCCUCAAAUCCUCCCUGGUAAUGGGGGACCAUCGUAUCAAACCAGGCCUGCUAGUCUGCAAAGUCCUCCACACUGAUGUCCUCCCUAAGAAGAUGUAAUACAGAGACUUUCAAAAUCUCCAGUGUGAGAGUGAGGGAAAACAUGAAGGAGGCAGCAGAGUCAGGUAGAGGAUAUUCAUUCAAGGAACAUGUAUAAGCACACUGUGUGCUGGGCCCUUUGGCAGAGACAAAGAUGAAGAAAGCAAGUUGUGCACCAUGUCAGAGAGCAAAGGGUAGGAAGGAGGGCAGGGCAAACAGGUGGGGAGAUGCUGGAGAAGCAUCAAAAUUUCCUCAUCAGAGCUGAGAACCCAUCUGGUCUGGAGAACAGAGCGUAGGCCUCCAAAUGCCUCUGACCCCAGUAAACCUACCUGCUCUUCCCAAACUUAUCAGGCCUCUGGUCUGCAUCCUGCAAUCCAAAGUCUACCUCUAGGGCUCUGGAAUACCUUCUGCUGAAACACCAAGGUCUUCCACAGCCAGCAGUGCUCCAAGCCCAAGCUUCGUCUCUGGCUCUGCCUCAGUUUUCUUGCCAACUCUAUAAACAGGAGCUUGUCCAAGAAGAGUCAGCACUUGGAAUGGAGCUCACAGGGUGCCCUCAGGGAGUUGAGGCUUUUAGGAGGUGGAGCCCUCAGAGAGGUGGGGCCCUCAGAAGGUUGGGGCACUCCACAGAAGUGCCCAGGGGAAGGGCCAGGAAGGGUAAAGGAAGUAGAUUAAGCAGAAUCCUGGAGGAAAGCAGCCGGUGGGCAAUGGAAGACCAGAUGGCCUCUGUCUGGGUGAAGAGGUCUGCUCCCAGAGUCCAUUCCAGGAUCUGCCAGUGCCCCCAGCGACACCCCAGCCCCCAGGUGCAGCCCCUCCAGGUGGACUUGUUCUCAGUUCCUGCUGGCACCCAAGAGUCUGCCAUCACCACUGCUGCCCUUGCUACUGUGCCCUCAGCCCAGCCUCCUCCACCAAGGACAAAGUGGCUUUGAAGCCUCCACGUGUGUUUCUGCUGGCUACCUAGGCCAGGACCCUGUCUCUGCCGCCACCAUGUCUGCAGUCAGGCCACAAUCAUUGUGUUAGAACCUCAAUGGUCAACAUGGCCCUGGGUCUCAUCUGCCUGGGAGAAGAAGACAACGAGCAGGGCAACCUAUAGGUGGGCCUGGUGUGCCAAGAAGUCCAGAACAGUUAUAGCCUCUGGAGGCAGAGGCCAUCCACAGAGGAGCCAGGCUGGCCGAGGCCCCUGGGGGCUAUGGAGUUGCCCACUGCAGUGCCCCUGAGCCUCCUGAGUGUCCCCAGCAGCUGGGGCAAGGGGGAGAUGUGGGUGGGGGUGCUGGAGCUGCCAAGGGGCCAUGGUGGCAGAUGGGAGGUGACCGCAACUGCCUCAGAAAAGCACAUCUAGGAGAAGCACACCUAGGACACGAAUGGCAAGACCUUCCACAAUGUCCCCCUGGAACUGACAGGCUUGGCACUCAGACAAGGAGCCGGCCAGUGCCCAGCGUGCCAGCGGCGCUGCAAGCCAAGGAGAGGAAGGCACAGUGCACAAUUCCUAAGCUGCUCCCAGUGUGGGAGAGCUUUUCCUGCCACUUCAUCUCACCAUGCUCCACAGUGCGCUCCACAGACGGCCCUUCAUUUUUUUUUUUUAUUUAUUUAUGAUAGUCACAGAGAGAGAGAGAGGCGCAGAGACACAGGCAGAGGGAGAAGCAGGCUCCAUGCACCGGGAGCCCAAUGUGGGAUUCGAUCCUGGGUCUCCAGGAUCACGCCCUGGGCCAAAGGCAGGCGCCAAACCGCUGCGCCACCCAGGGAUCCCUAAUACCCACAGACGGCCCUUCAAAUGUGACAGGUGUGGCAGCUUUUGCUACGCAAGUCGACCGUGGAUGCACAUAGUAGGAUAGCAGAGCAGGUGCAACAUGUGUGUGGCAAGAUGAGAAACUCAGCUUAUAUUUUUGAUGACAUGAAGUUGCAGCGCCAGGUCCCUCAGCAUGUCUGUGAGCUCUGCAGGAAAGGUACCGUGAGGUCUGCUCUGGGGCAGCAGGGGCACUGGCACACCGUCACACGGCUGUGGGAUCCCGGCCAGGGUAGAGUGCUUCUCCCAGGUGCCCCCUGAUCUCCCAGCUACUCCCCUCCCAGCCCUGCUGAGCUCCAUGCUGGUGGCAGGGAGAGUGGAAAUUGGAGGACACUCCCUGGUACCCUCCCCUCUUCCCCUCACUUCCCACCAUCACCUUACUGCUUCCCACCACCAGGGAGCCUCCAGAAGUAAAGGAGGAGGAGAUGUUUCUCAGGGGAGUUUGCUAGGUUUUCACUCUUUGUUUCUCUGCUCCUCACUCCUCCCUCUCAGACUUGACCCCCCACACACAUCUGUUCCCCCAGUUGUGCUGAGGCCCCCUGGACACUGGGCAGGGGUGGAGAGGACAUAAGCGGCCACUGCCCUCACCCCGAUCCUCUCUGGACCCACUGCCCUGCUCUUCCAGGGAUCUGGGAGCCUUCUCCUGGAUGGUCCUUGCUCCCCCUCCUUCCACCUUUCCCCCUCCUAUUGUCUACUGUCCCUCCCUGGGGAAGUGGUCCUAGUUUUCUAGGGGGAGGGAGGAGAGGACUGAGGGGAACCCAAGAUGGGGAAAGGUGAGAUUGGAGAAGGCGCAGAAGGAGGGAAGGCAACCAUAGCACCUUCAGCAGGUGGGAUGUUUGGGCUCAAGUCCCAAACAUCCUCUUACCGGAAAAUCUGUCAGAAUAAAACAAGUCAAGGAGAGCA